UAGCGCGUGUUGCAUGCGGUUGUCCCCUAGACAUGCCAGCCAUAGAGUUUCCUACUUUUGUAGGAAACUCUAUGAUGCCAGCAUUGCGUUGUGCAGUCGAGUUUGCGCGCCGCCUCUGGCUGCCCGCGCGGUGAGGCAGUGGGCACGGACGCCCCAUUUGGUGAUCGCUGUGUCUGAAGGGGUAAUUAAGGUUCGGACUGCUGUCGCUUUUUUCGUCGCGACGAUAGACUGGAUUUUUUUACAAGCAUUGCUCCAGGAGGGCAAAUUGAAGUAAUGGACGCAGGAACAGAAAUGAACGCACGUUUAUUGAUUUAUUCGUUUAAAGGGACACUAAAGGUUACUAUGAAGUCAAGUUCAAGUGAUAAAGCAAUGCUGUAGAACGUCUAAGGCGUCAAUAUAAUCGCGAACAGAGCUUUAGUAACCGAGAAAUUGAGGUAAAUGCAUGAUACGAUUUGAGACCCCCCAGCGACAUUCCGCGGUACUAGCCCGUUAGCCCUAUGACGAAAGUACUCCUCAUCAUAAUUUAUGUCACUAGUACUCAACCACUCGUAUUAAAAAGAUUAAUUCAUUGGGUUAUAAGACGGAAGAAAAUGCUACUUGUCUAGUUCUGUUCUAUCCUAAAAAAAAAAAACACACACACACAUUUUGACGUUACCCUUCAGUAGUAUGGGUGGUCGAAAGGUUUCGUUUUCGCUCAACUCUGCGCGCUCAACUCUGCGCCACGCGCGCUUUGGAGUUUCAGUUGUUUCGUUAUCGCGUCGUGCUGCGCUGGUUCUGCUGGCUCGCGAAACUUGCAUUUGGAACAAGCAACGAGAAUGCCACGUCCAUGUGAUGUCGUGGGAUGCGCGAACGGUCCGCGGAACUUGGCCAAGGGCAGUUGUAGCGGCGAAUCCAACAUUACUUAUCACUGUGUGCCAACGAGUGAACCUCUCCGAUCGAAGUGGUUAAGUGCCGUACCUCUGCCACAGCGCGUUGGCAAAGAGCCGAAAAAUCGCAUAGUGUGCUCGCUGCACUUUCGUUCAAAGGAUUACGUGUUCAACGCCGACUUACUGAAGACGUGUGGAGUGCCUUUCAAAGCAAUGCUUUCCCGUAGCGCUGUUCCGUCGGUCUUACCUGCAUUCUCCGAAGCGCAAGAACAACCGCAGGUCGAAGACGGAGCGAGGCGGUGAGCGCGGCAUUUGGUUUUCACGAAGGAAAAGCUACAAAUGUGCGAAUAUGUACAGCCAUGACAUAAGUUGCCGUCGUAGUAGUACGCAACAACGCCGGCAGCGCGAGCCCUCAGUAGCAGGUCACGAUCAUCAGUGCUUAAAUCGCUGAAGUCGAACCCUGCAUCGCGAGCCAAUGUGUCGUUGUCAGGGUCGUGCAUUCCAACGAGCGUCAAAGUUGGCGUCAUAAAAUAAAGAACCAGCUUAUCGUCGCGCGCUUUCCCUUCCGCUAGCCGCCAUAGUUCCGCUUUCGUGCUGCUGUCGGCUCUGUCUUGGCUCUGUUUCUGGCCGCGCGUUUGUGUUUUGCGCAGAAAAGCCGUAGCGCCGUCUGCGGGCGCCGUUUUACUCACCGGCGGUGCACUAUGAGACCAUGACGAUCAGCACUCCUCGAUCGGAGGGCGGGCUACUUGAACUGCGCUAGAGGAGGAGCUCUAGAAACGGUCUGGCGCCUUGCGGCGCCGGUUUGAUCUGCGAAUUGGAACAACUGCCAGAGGUCCAGCAUUGGCAGUACCCGUGUCGUGCUCUUCCGGGACUCCAGUGUUGGCAGCUCCCGUUUCGUGCUCAUCGCUAGCCGAGGAGUUGGGGCUGGUACCCGAAAAGCCCGCCAGAGGGUCUGCAUCUUCGUUUGGUGAGUUGAUUAUGCUUGCCUGUGUCUACAAGAACCCCCCCCCCCUUUUUUUUUGUGUGUCAAGACACAACAAGAACGUUCACGCGUGGCCUGUGGCAGCAAGCUUUUGUGGGCAGCCAGUGCUCUCCUGCGAAGGCUGGCCUGCUCUGGCAGCGGUGGCAACCAUUUUCAAGAUUCAUGCAUGACCACCUUUGCUGCUGUUUGUCGCUCUUGUUAAUUACACUUUCUGUAUCUUUUCUAUAAUUUAUUAGGUAAUAAAGUUUGUCACAUGGU